GCUCCCCCUCUCUCAUCCUUUGUCUCUGGUUGAGAGUGCUUUCAAAAUGCAAUGCACUGGGGCAAGGAUUCUGGAGGGUGAGC
rnacentral:pre_miRNA from 1 species